rnacentral:rRNA from 1 species
AUUGAACGCUGGCGGCAGGCCUAACACAUGCAAGUCGAGCGGAUGAAGGGAGCUUGCUCCUGGAUUCAGCGGCGGACGGGUGAGUAAUGCCUAGGAAUCUGCCUGGUAGUGGGGGAUAACGUCCGGAAACGGGCGCUAAUACCGCAUACGUCCUGAGGGAGAAAGUGGGGGAUCUUCGGACCUCACGCUAUCAGAUGAGCCUAGGUCGGAUUAGCUAGUUGGUGGGGUAAAGGCCUACCAAGGCGACGAUCCGUAACUGGUCUGAGAGGAUGAUCAGUCACACUGGAACUGAGACACGGUCCGGACUCCGACGGGAGGCAGCAGUGGGGAAUAUUGGAAAAUGGGCGAAAGCCUGAUCCAGCCAUGCCGGGGGUGUGAAGAAGGUCUUCGGAUUGUAAAGCACUUUAAGUUGGGAGGAAGGGCAGUAAGUUAAUACCUUGCUGUUUGGACGUUACCAACAGAAUAAGCACCGGCUAACUUCGUG